rnacentral:rRNA from 1 species
AUGGCUCAUCGAAGCACAAGACUACAUUUCCCCAUAAGAGAGGCUACCAAGGAUAAACAACUAGGUUGUCGGAUCCCACAUAUACCAAACAUUUCAAUCAUACACACAAUAUGCUCAAUAUGUGCAAUACAACAUGGCAUCACAACAAGACUCUACGACUCAGAGUAUUUAUUCAUUAGGCUCCGAGGAGCGAGAUAUUACAAACAUGGGUCUCAUGACCCAACAUUCAAAGCAUACAAGUCAAAGCACAUGCGGAAGCUUAACUUGUCUGAGUACAGACAACUAAAAAUGAAGAAGGCCGAGGAGCAUGACUAUCUACAAGACCCUCCCAAGGGUACAAGAUCGUAG